CCCUCCUACUUAAACCCAUGUCAGUGUUUCCUUAUCUUUGGACACAUAAGAUUUGAAGGCAAAGAAAUGUGGCCUUGGAGAAAUCUGGGACCAGUUUGCUCCCUGCAGGCUCAAGAUCAACCAUCCCACGUAG